rnacentral:rRNA from 1 species
UUUAAUCGAAGCAACGCGAAGUACCUUACCAGGUCUUGACAUCCCGAUGCUUAUUUCUAGAGAUAGAAAGUUACUUCGGUACAUCGGUGACAGGUGGUGCAUGGUUGUCGUCAGCUCGUGUCGUGAGAUGUUGGGUUAAGUCCCGCAACGAGCGCAACCCCUAUUGUUAGUUGCCAUCAUUCAGUUGGGCACUCUAGCGAGACUGCCGGUAAUAAACCGGAGGAAGGUGGGAUGACGUCAAAUCAUCAUGCCCCUUAUGACCUGGGCUACACACGUGCUACAAUGGUUGGUACAACGAGUUGCGAGUCGGUGACGGCGAGCUAAUCUCUUAAAGCCAAUCUCAGUUCGGAUUGUAGGCUGCAACUCGCCUACAUGAAGUCGGAAUCGCUAGUAAUCGCGGAUCAGCACGCCGCGGUGAAUACGUUCCCGGGCCUU